rnacentral:lncRNA from 1 species
GGGGGGGGGGGUUUGGUUUUGGUGGUUUUGGGGUUUUUUUUUCCUGUAGAGAUCUGCUUUGAGAAGAAAAGAAUUUAUACCUUCUCUUGUGGAUUUCUGAGUGGUGAAACUUGACUUGAGCUGCUCUAUACAAGUCUGUAAUUAAAAAGGAGAAUACUGAAUUCUGUUGGCCUUGGCCUUUUUUGCUCUCUUUAUUUGCCCUCUUGGAGAUUCUGAAGGCACGUUAUUAGCAUUUAGGAUCAUCUGCAGUCAGCAGCCACACACGUAUUAUGAUCUCUACACAUAAUUAAUUCAGGACUUUCUUUUCCUAUUUCUAUUCUUACAGGCAUGUGUUGUAUUUGUACUGGGUCACCAGUGAGUGAACUUCCAAUACAUUCUUUAGUUACUAACUUUGUAACUUUUUGUUGCAGUUCUUGCAUUCUAAGUAAUUUAUACUGAAUAAAAUAUUAUUAAUUGAACGGUGACUUGCUAAAGAACAUUCAUCCGAACAUGUGUUACAUGAAGGUUUUUGUAAAACAGAUUGCCAUUAACUGCUGCUUUAUCUGCCAGGGUCUUCACACUGUAGUUGAGCAACAGAAUUAUAGGAGAUGAGAAAAGAUGUCUGUAAGUUUAUACUGUCAUGGCUGUAUUUUGAUCUGGUAUUUUUGAUUUAUCCUCCUAAAGAACUGAAUAUGACAUUCCAACUGUCAGACUUGAACAUCUUAACCAUAAGGUCCAUCAGUAUUAUCUAUCAUGGGCACAGGAUUCCCCUACAGAGAAGUAAGAGAUUUCUGUUUUAACAAAGAGAAGUUUAUGUUGGCAUUUAGAUAUAUAUAUUCUUAUGAAAACAACAUCAGGUACCAGUUUAAGAUACCAAAAUAUUUUUAAAAAAAAAAAAAAAAAAAAAAAAAAAUCAAGCUGUUCCAACCACUUGAUUUCUAACCAAGUAGACUUUAGUUUAGAAGCACUGGAAAAGUGCUUCAUUUAUAAAUAUGGAAGGAAAAAAAACAACCAAAAACCAAAAAGCAACCAUUGCAUCAAACCAGAGAGAGUCAAAACAUCACUAGGACAAGAGGGGUAA